rnacentral:lncRNA from 1 species
CUUGUUGCAGAUUUUCGCCAUGGGUUUAAUCCCUAAGAGGUAUGUAAGCUUCCAUAGUGUUGGGUUCUUUCACCCACGCGCCGAUCAUGAUUUAUUCAGCGUAAUUUCGUUCUGAAAUUUAAAGAUUUGAGUUUUUAUGAGUUCUUGAUAAGUGUUCUUGAAGUUUAAUUAAGUUUUGAAGUAAGAUUCUGCUUAGGUCAACUUUAAACGACCAUAUCUCUUAGAAUAUUAAGAGUUACGUGAGCCAUAACCUAUCCAAUUAAAGGUAAUUGAAUCUACUUUCCAAC